rnacentral:rRNA from 1 species
UGCGUAUUAGGUUUUACCAACUCGUAGUGGCGUUAGUAGACGUUAUAAAGACUUUAGUUGAAAGUACAGACAGCCUGGCAAACAGUAUUCACAAAGUUUGACCUCAAAUCAGGUAGGAUUACCCGCUGAACUUAAGCAUAUCAAUAAGCGGAGGAAAAGAAACCAACCGGGAUUGCCUUAGUAACGGCGAGUGAAGCGGCAAAAGCUCAAAUUUGAAAUCUGGCACCUUCGGUGUCCGAGUUGUAAUUUGAAGAAGUAACUUUGGGGCUAGUCCUUGUCUAUGUUCCUUGGAACAGGACGUCAUGGAGGGUGAGAAUCCCGUAUGGCGAGGAGCCUAGUCCUAUGUAAAGUGCUUUCGACGAGUCGAGUUGUUUGGGAAUGCAGCUCUAAGUGGGUGGUAAAUUCCAUCUAAAGCUAAAUAUUGGCGAGAGACCGAUAGCGAACAAGUACAGUGAUGGAAAGAUGAAAAGAACUUUGAAAAGAGAGUGAAAAAGUACGUGAAAUUGUUGAAAGGGAAGGGCAUUUGAUCAGACAUGGUGUUUUGCGACCCUCGCUCCUUGUGGGUGGGGAUCUCGCAGUUCACUGGGCCAACAUCAGUUUUGGCGGCAGGAUAAAUUCUUGGGAAUGUAGCUUGUCUUCGGAGAAGCAUUAUAGCCCAGGAGAAUACUGCCAGCCGGGACUGAGGACUGC